UGGGGAAUUUUGGACAAUGGGGGAAACCCUGAUCCAGCCAUCCCGCGUGUGCGAUGAAGGCCUUCGGGUUGUAAAGCACUUUUGGCAGGAAAGAAACGUCGCGGGUUAAUACCCCGCGAAACUGACGGUACCUGCAGAAUAAGCACCGGCUAACUACGUGCCAGCAGCCGCGGUAAUACGUAGGGUGCAAGCGUUAAUCGGAAUUACUGGGCGUAAAGCGUGCGCAGGCGGUUCGGAAAGAAAGAUGUGAAAUCCCAGAGCUUAACUUUGGAACUGCAUUUUUAACUACCGGGCUAGAGUGUGUCAGAGGGAGGUGGAAUUCCGCGUGUAGCAGUGAAAUGCGUAGAUAUGCGGAGGAACACCGAUGGCGAAGGCAGCCUCCUGGGAUAACACUGACGCUCAUGCACGAAAGCGUGGGGAGCAAACAGGAUUAGAUACCCUGGUAGUCCACGCCCUAAACGAUGUCAACUAGCUGUUGGGGCCUUCGGGCCUUGGUAGCGCAGCUAACGCGUGAAGUUGACCGCCUGGGGAGUACGGUCGCAAGAUUAAAACUCAAAUGAAUUGACGGGGUC
rnacentral:rRNA from 1 species